AAAUCAUUUACCUUUCAAUCUUGGAAGGCCCUAAGCUGAAGGAGAGCAUCAAUUGUCAUGAGAGAUAAGCAAUAUCUAUUAGACAUGCAUACUAUCAGGCUAACGCAAACCACUCGGGAAUGAAGUAUACUUACCGUAACUUUCUAUGUGUUGACUUGAGUUUUCCUAUUAGUAAAAGAAACAUGCCAUUUUUUUGCGGUUCAUGGAUUCAUGCUCAAUGUUGAAUUAUUAUCUGAUCUACAAAAGCAUGCCUUACUGCUGCUCAUGGUCACAUGAUUUAUAAUUUAUAACUACAAUUAUUUAAAUCAGUAUCUUGCAUGAAGUCUUGACAUCUAGCUUGAUCAAAGAUUCCACUGUGUGCUUAUUUCUCCAUCAUAUCGCACAAUGAAUAAUAUCAGUAGAUAAAUAUCUCCUUUUUAUGCAAUGAAUUUCAUGAAAUAAAACAGCGUCGAUCAUUGUCUCCGACGUAAUCUUAAGUGCACAGGCAUGUCUUACUGUCACUGCUUUCUUGUAGUAUUAGUGUCGUCUUUGGCUAUUUCCUUUCUUGAAUUUUCCAAUGACAGCAUACAUGCCUAAACAUAUUCAAAGUUGUUGAUUAUUUUGUUGCAAAUAUAGUAUUUAGUAAUUUGACGUGAACCCUUGAAGGUCCAAUUAAGUCUAUUUGACUAGGAAGCUAGGUGAUAUGUGCUCAAAAGAACCUACCCCUGUUAUGCACCAGUUUUGUACCGUAGUGUUGUUUAUGCUGUUAUGCUAUAUAUCUUGUAUUAAUUGAAUUUUGAAGAUAACGAUUAAGGAAUUCAUCUACAAUAGGAACUUACUUCCCAACAAGGAAAGUCCAAUGAUUGGGCAACAACAUGUGGAAGGAUAAUUACUGGAUACUUUUUUUAGCGAACAACUGCGGAGCAAAUGAUUUGCUGUCUCAAAACAUGUAAGUUGUGAUGCCCUCUCUGGAAUCGAAUUACUAAUUCGUAAAACAGGAUCUGGUUCUACAAUUUUAUCAAAAUUAAUUUGGCACUACAAAAACAUUUGUCAUUUCAUCUAGGAAUAUUUUUAAAUAGUUAAUAAAUCAUACAGACUUGAUAUUUUCUUGGUCUCAUGCAACUAUGUGUUGUUUCUUAUUUUACUCAACAAUCAUUUGUGGCAAUUAUGAGUUGUUUUUCGCCAUCCGUACACUAUCCCUUAAUUUUACUACGAAUAUAUGAAAGUACACACCAAGGGGUUUGCGAAAAUUAAAAACACUAGGACACAAGCACGAGUCACCUUAUGAGGUGAUGAUGUAGGAGACACAAUGAGGUUAAAGAGAUGUGAUGGACAUAGAAGGGUAAACCCAUGAGGACAAAGAGAUGUGAUGCACAUAGAAGGAGGAAGCAAGGACCUCGAUCCACAUUAUUGAAGACAUAGAUAAGAACAAGAGUAUCACACUUCACACAUCAACCAAUCAAUGACACGUGUUGGUAUUGGGGCAUAUCGCCCUCCCUUGCAUUAUACCUGUUAAUAUUAAGAUGAAACACUUAGUUGGAUGCAUUUCUCUUAUAUUGUUCUAUGGCAACACCCGAGCAUUCUGCUAGAGAAGAUGCUCGGCUGUAGACAGAAUCAUAUAUUAUAUUAUUAUCAUUAGUAUCAACAUAUUUGUAAAUGUUUUCAUACUCAAUCUAUGAGGUUAGAUUCAACACAAGAUCUAAAGUUUUGUGUGAAGCCAAAUAUGCAGUGUCAGCAAUACUGUUUGAUAGCUUGGGGUAUGAUAAUGCGGCAAACGGCCAACGGCUGGCUAGCUGUGUGGGAGAGCAAGAGAUGUCUCGAGAAACGUCUCACUACAGUGGGAAACCGAGCGGGAAGGGGAGGGUGUGACAGGGAAAAGGAAAUUUGUGUUGCGCCCGCGGGUUGGAGAUAACAAAUGGUGGAUAGUCCGAACAAUGACAUUUCUUCCCCACAUAUUAUCUGGAUAUGGGUAAGUCCGGACUAUCCAGGCGGUUGAAUUUUGGGGAGCUCGUUGGGCACCGGACGUAUGAGGGAGAAAUGAGCUUCGACUUUGAAAACGACUUUAAUAAUUUAUUUGAUUCGUUUAUGUGCAUUGUAGCCCGUAGCAACGCACGGGCAUUGUACUAGUUCUGAUAAAUUCUGAUUCAUGCGUGUCUCUCCCAAAAGGUGGGUACAACAAGGAUUAUUAUGAUAAACUAAAAAGCAAAGACUCAAAUCAUACAAGACGCUCCAAGCAAAACACAUGUCGUGUGAUGAAUAAAAAUAUAGUCUCAAGUAAAGUUAUCGAUAGACGAAAACGAAAGAGGGGAUGCCUUUCGGAGCAUCCCCAAGCUUAGGCUUUUG
rnacentral:lncRNA from 1 species